rnacentral:lncRNA from 1 species
CCUGACUCCGCCAAUCUACCCGUGUGCCCCCCCCCCAUUUUUUGUGGGGGGGCUGCCUCUCGUGCUUCCCCGGCAGGCUUCUGUAUCUCUCCAAUACUUGCCCCCAAGUCCAGUCUAUCCUCUUUCGCAACUCCUCCAGAGACCAGGAAUCCAUCUCCUCCCGGGCACGCUGCUUGAUCCAGUUGUGGUGGGUAGUUCUGUAACGGCUGUCGUAAUGAGGAGACCAAGAUGCAGCGUGGAACCCUCUGAACACAUCAACAACUGCCUCCCACAAAGCAUUGUUACCUAUCGUUCCAAAAAAAGGCAGCGGAACUUGCAGAGCAAAGGAAACAACUACUUCAAGGUCUCAGAGCGAGUGACGUCACUGAUUGAAACGCUACUAGAGACCACCGCUAACUAGCUAGCUAUUUCACACCGGCUCAUGCGUGUGUGUGCAUUUGUGUGUCUGUAAAACGGCAAUGUGUUUAAAUGCUGACAUCUCCAAAGGAGCCCUUUAUUUGAUCAGCUCUGAUAGAAUUCGAGACCUUGGGAC